UACGUAGGGUGCAAGCGUUGUCCGGAAUUAUUGGGCGUAAAGAGCUCGUAGGCGGUUUGUUGCGUCGGCUGUGAAAUCCCGAGGCUCAACCUCGGGUCUGCAGUCGAUACGAGCAAACUAGAGUGUUGCAGGGGAGACUGGAAUUCCUGGUGUAGCGGUGAAAUGCGCAGAUAUCAGGAGGAACACCUGCGGCGAAGGCGGGUUGCUGGGCCGACACUGACGCUGAUGCGCGAAAGCUAGGGUAGCAAACGGG
rnacentral:rRNA from 1 species